rnacentral:rRNA from 1 species
UACAAAGGGGGCUAGCGUUGUUCGGAAUUACUGGGCGUAAAGCGCACGUAGGCGGAUCGAUCAGUCAGGGGUGAAAUCCCAGGGCUCAACCCUGGAACUGCCUUUGAUACUGUCGAUCUGGAGUAUGGAAGAGGUGAGUGGAAUUCCGAGUGUAGAGGUGAAAUUCGUAGAUAUUCGGAGGAACACCAGUGGCGAAGGCGGCUCACUGGUCCAUUACUGACGCUGAGGUGCGAAAGCGUGGGGAGCAAACAGG